GUAAAAAAGGCAAAAAUAAAGGUACAUGUGGAGUGUUUCAUUGGAGUGCACUCAACGUUCUCCAUUGAAGCGUUCUCCGUUGAAUCUGAUUCUUGUAUUCCCCAUUGAAGCAGCUUCUAAGUUCUUUUCAGUCAACUCAAGGAACCUUGGUGGUGUUAGUUUCGCGUUUUGAUCUGUCUGAUGGACAAGUUUAAAGCAAGGCCAGUUCUCAAAUCCCAAAAGGAUUACGAGACAAAUGAUCGUCUGAGUGAGCUUCCCGAUCAAAUUUUGGGGCUUAUAUUGUCAUUUCUGACAAUAAAGCAAGCUGUUCAAACUGGUAUUCUUUCCCACAGAUGGAUGUGCUUGUGGAAGUAUGUUCUCAAGUUGAACUUUGAAGAUUCAAGGGCAAUGGAUAGGAUUAUAGCUUCAAUGAGCAAGGAUGAGAUAGUUGACUCGGAAAGAUGUUGCUUUACUAGCUUUGUGAAUCGUGUCUUGGAACAAUCUCUGGGUGAUAUUGAUGAAAUGAGGAUAAAAUUUGAUUUGGAUAAUCUUUGCAAAUUUGAUAUUGAUAAGUGGGUGAAUUUUGCAACGGCUAGGGAACUCAAUAAGCUCGAAUUAGACUUUUAUCCUGCAUUGUUGUUCAUCCGGAGACGUCAUGUCAAUAAUAGCUUCUUACCUCCUAAGUAUCUAUACACAGCUGACUUAAGCCUACCCUAAAAUCUCUGCAUUUAAAUUAUGUUAAUGUUUCAAAUGAAACUGUGAAGCUUCUUUUGGAUUCCUGCCAGCUCCUUGAGAAUCUGUGCCUUGAGUGUUCAGAAAUUUUAACUAGUGUAACCUCUGCUUCCUUGUCACUACCUUUGAAGCAUUGAAAAGUUUUAUACUGCUUUAAUAUGCAAACAAUUGAUGUAUCUGCUCCAAAGCUCUUGUCGUUAACAUAUUUUGGUGACCCUAUUGAGUUCAAUAUUUGAAGUGCCUCCUCACUUUGGAGCUAUCUGUUGGUGGUGAUAGACGUGUCGAAGUAGCAUAUGCUUUUGAACCUUUGGCAAUAUAUCUUUCACAAUUGAAGUAUCUACAACUGCGGAUGUGCUUAAUUCAUGGGAAUAAUCUAGCGAUCGAGCACUCACCUGCCUUCCCAAAUCUGAAGCAUCUUGAGCUGUAUGUUGUGGCUGAUUUUGACGAUUCCCUCCUCGGAUGGAUCCCUCUGAUUAACGCUUGUCCUAUCCUGCAGAAACUGACUUUGAAG